UAAUAAGUGUUUUAUGAGCACUUUUAAAUCCAUAUCCACCUUGUGUGCAAUGUCAGUCGAUCUUCUUCAUGGAGAUCGAUCCAAACAUCAACCUUUAUCUUUUAACUCUUUGUCUGCAAAAAUAUUAUAUGAAUAUAAACAAUUCACAAAUA
rnacentral:misc_RNA from 1 species